rnacentral:rRNA from 1 species
UACAGGGGGUGCUAGCGUUGUUCGGAAUUACUGGGCGUAAAGGGCGCGUAGGCGGUCCCGCAAGUCAGGGGUGAAAGCCCGGAGCUUAACUCCGGAAUUGCUUUUGAUACUGCGGGGCUAGAGUAUGUUAGAGGAAAUCGGAAUUCCUAGUGUAGAAGUGAAAUUCGUAGAUAUUAGGAAGAACACCGGUGGCGAAGGCGGAUUUCUGGGACAUAACUGACGCUGAGGCGCGAAAGCGUGGGGAUCAAACAGG